GGAAUCUUGGACAAUGGGGGCAACCCUGAUCCAGCCAUGCCGCGUGGACGAUGAAGGCCCUAGGGUUGUAAAGUCCUUUCAGCGGGGACGAUAAUGACGGUACCCGCAGAAGAAGCCCCGGCUAACUCCGUGCCAGCAGCCGCGGUAAUACGGAGGGGGCUAGCGUUGUUCGGAAUUACUGGGCGUAAAGCGCGCGUAGGCGGAUGAUUAAGUCGGGGGUGAAAUCCCGGGGCUCAACCCCGGAACUGCCUUCGAUACUGGUCGUCUGGAGGUCGAGAGAGGUGAGUGGAAUUCCGAGUGUAGAGGUGAAAUUCGUAGAUAUUCGGAGGAACACCAGUGGCGAAGGCGGCUCACUGGCUCGAUACUGACGCUGAGGCGCGAAAGCGUGGGGAGCAAAC
rnacentral:rRNA from 1 species